UGGACCAAUGAUGAUGUCUGGUGGCGUAUGAGUCAAAGGAUGGUGAAUGAUACGUGUCUGGAAGUCUGAGGUCCAA
rnacentral:snoRNA from 1 species